rnacentral:rRNA from 1 species
AUUGAACGCUGGCGGCAGGCCUAACACAUGCAAGUCGAGCGGAGCGGCGGACGGGUGAGUAAUGCCUAGGAAUCUGCCUGGUAGUGGGGGAUAACGUCCGGAAACGGGCGCUAAUACCACAUACUAUCAGAUGAGCCUAGGUCGGAUUAGCUAGUUGGUAGGGUAAGGGCCUACCAAGGCGACGAACCGUAACAGGUCUGAGAGGAUGAUCAGUCACACUGGAACUGAGACACGGUCCAGAGUACUACGGGAGGCAGCAGUGGGGAAUAUUGGGCAAUGGGCGAAAGCCUGAUCAAGCCAUGCCGCGUGUGUGAAGAAGGUCUUCGGAUUGUAAAGCACUUUAAGUUGGGAGGCGUUACCAAAAGAAUAAGCCCCGGCUAACUGCGUACCAGCCGCCGCGGUAAUUC